UGUGGGAGGGGGCUUGCUCCCGAUAGCGGUGUGUCAGUGAGCUUAUUUGUCACUGAUCGACCGCUAUCGGGAGCAAGCCCCCUCCCACA
rnacentral:misc_RNA from 1 species